rnacentral:misc_RNA from 1 species
AGUUAAAUAGUACGUGAAAUUGUUGAAAGGGAAACGAUUGAAGCCAGUCGUACCUUCGGGUAAUCAGCCUUUUGGGUGUGAUUUUGUGGAGCGUGAAGAGUUAAACGCCUUCAUGCCUGCAUAUUCGUGCACUUUGGGUGUACUUGCCCGUAUGGUUGGUUAACAUCAAUUUUGGUGGUCAUAAAAUGACUGGAGGAAUGUAGCUUCGAUCUCGUAUUGAAGUGUUAUAGCCUUCGGUAGAUGUGAUGAUCGAGAUUGAGGAUUGCAACGGAUACCCUUCGGGGCUACCUGUCUGAUCUCUGAUCGUUGCUCUGGUGCCGAAAGCUUGCUUACGGUUAUCAAAGUCGAUGGUCAAUAGGUUAGAACGGGUUAAAUUCGUUAAGGAUGUUGACGUAAUGGCUUUAAA